UAGUCCGUCUGUAUCAAAUUUUCAUUUAGUUAUGUUAGAUCCUCACUCGAAUACUUAAAAGGUUCAAUUUUUACAAGCUCGACUACAUGAACUAUGCAUGUAGUUUUUGGUUUUUAAUUACUGAAAU
rfam:Populus trichocarpa scaffold_2_contig_191, whole genome shotgun sequence.